AUGUUUCUCCUCCUCAUCCUCCUCUUCUUCCUCAUCCUCGUCUUCCUCCUCAUGUUUCUCCUCCUCAUCCUCCUCUUCUUCCUCCUUAUCUUCCUCAUCCUCUUCCUCCUCCUUAUGUUUCUCCUCUUCUUCAUCCUCCUCGUCAUCCUCUUCCUUCUCCUUAUCUUCCUCAUCCUCGUCUUCCCCUUCCUCCUCCUCUUCCUCCUCAUGUUUCUCCUCCUCUUCAUCUUCAUCCUCCUCUUCCUCCUCUUCCUCCUCCUCAUCUUCCUCAUCCUCGUCUUCCUCUUCCUCCUCAUGUUUCUCCUCCUCGUCUUCCUCUUCCUCCUCAUCCUCCUCUUCCUCCUCCUCAUCUUCCUCAUCCUCUUCCUCCUCUUCAUCUUCCUCCUCCUCUUCCUCCUCAUGUUUCUCCUCCUCUUCCUCCUCUUCCUCCUCUUUAGCCUCAUCCUCCUCCUCUUCAUCCUCCUCUUCCUCCUCCUUAUCUUCCUCAUCCUCCUCUUCCUAUUCUUCCUCUUCCUCCUCAUGUUUCUCCUCUUCCUCCUCCUCUUCCUCCUCCUCCUCCUCUUCCUCCUCCUCUUCCUCCUCCUCUUCCUCCUCCUCAUCUUCCUCCUCUUCCUCCUCCUCAUCUUCCUCAUCCUCUUCUUCCCUCCAGAACGCCAAAACAAGUUCCAGUUCCACGAUGACAUCACUUCCCCAACCACCUCCCCCUCUUCACCCUCAUCCUCCUGCUCCUCCUCCCCCCGGAGCUCCUCCACCUCCUCAUCCCCCGACAGCAGACGGGCUCGUCUGUCUCUGUCCAGCCCCGAGCUUCUGACAGAACUGAAAGAGUCCAGGACACGCCCCCUCCGACAUGUCCCCGCCCACACAGGCAUGACCGUCGUGUUCUCUGGACGAGGACGUGGAGCUGCAGGACAGGUGUCAAACUCCGCCCCCGCCGCCAAACCGGCCAAUCAGAGGAUCAGUCACUGA
rnacentral:lncRNA from 1 species